CUACUCAUACACUUAUUUUCUGUGAACAUGAAAGCAUUGUCUAAACAGUCCUUUCUGUAUCCACUGAAUUUACAAUAUUUUGUUAUGCUCAAUAUUUUUUCAAGAUGAUGCCCUUUUUCAUAGUUAUGUUUAAAUUCAGAAACACAUGAAUUUUACAAGCAUUCUGAGUUGCAUGUGGCCCUUUUCCUGAGCUAUGUAAAGAACUACAACAUCAACAAGAGCUGGCAGAACUAAGAUGAUUGUUCCCGUCGCUCCUUCAUUUGUGUGUGCUAACCGUGCUGACAAGAGGAAGGAGUUCUACACAAAAUUAGAGGAGAAACAUAAAGCUUUGGAAGCAGAGAAGGACGAGGCUGAGGCCAGGAAAAA